rnacentral:rRNA from 1 species
GACGAACGCUGGCGGCGUGCUUAACACAUGCAAGUCGAGCGGUAAGGCCCUUUCGGGGGUACACGAGCGGCGAACGGGUGAGUAACACGUGGGUGACCUGCCCUCAGCUCUGGGAUAAGCCUGGGAAACUGGGUCUAAUACUGGAUAUGACUCCACGGUGCAUGUCGUGGGGUGGAAAGCCUUGUGCGGCUGAGGAUGGGCCCGCGGCCUAUCAGCUUGUUGGUGGGGUGANGGGCCUACCAAGGCGACGACGGGUAGCCGGCCUGAGAGGGCGACCGGCCACACUGGGACUGAGAUACGGCCCAGACUCCUACGGGAGGCAGCAGUGGGGAAUCUUGCGCAAUGGGCGAAAGCCUGACGCAGCGACGCCGCGUGAGGGAUGACGGCCUGGUU